rnacentral:lncRNA from 1 species
UUUGGAUUGAUGCUUCUUGCCUCUCCAUUUUCUUGAUAUAAUUUUCUAUUAUUUCCCGAGAUUUGGGCCUGGACUUUUUAAUCGCCACCGUUUUCCCGAGAUAAGAUUUUCCGAGGUUAUCCUUGACUCUUCCGUCUGGAGAAGAUGGCACUUUCGACGGCCCGCCGCAGAGCCAGCUAACGUGGAGGUGUCGUCCUCCUCACGGCGCAGCCCGAGGGAAAGGACGGAAUCACCGCGGCCGGAAAACGGAGGCGACGCUUUCGCCGCUCGCCAGACGUGGACUAGGCGGGCGGAGAACAAACUUCCGG